UACGGAGGGUGCAAGCGUUAUCCGGAAUCACUGGGUUUAAAGGGUGCGUAGGCGGCAUGAUAAGUCAGGGGUGAAAGCUGGCAGCUUAACUGUCAAAUUGCCUUUGAUACUGUUGUGCUUGAAUCAGGUUGAGGUAGGCGGAAUGUGACAUGUAGCGGUGAAAUGCAUAGAUAUGUCAUAGAACACCAAUUGCGUAGGCAGCUUGCUGGGCCUGCAUUGACGCUGAGGAACGAAAGCGUGGGGAUCAAACAGG
rnacentral:rRNA from 1 species